rnacentral:rRNA from 1 species
UACGGGGGAGGCAAGCGUUGUUCGGAUUUACUGGGCGUAAAGGGCGCGUAGGCGGCCACCGCAAGUCGGUUGUGAAAUCUCCGGGCUUAACCUGGAAAGGUCAAUCGAUACUGCGGGGCUAGAGUGCAGAAGGGGCAACUGGAAUUCUCGGUGUAGCGGUGAAAUGCGUAGAUAUCGAGAGGAACACCUGCGGCGAAGGCGGGUUGCUGGGCUGACACUGACGCUGAAGCGCGAAAGCUAGGGGAGCGAACGGG